UACGUAGGCAGCAAGCGUUGUUCGGAGUUACUGGGCGUAAAGGGUGCGUAGGCGGCCCUGUAAGUAUGGUGUGAAAUCUCCCGGCUCAACUGGGAGGGUGCACCGAAUACUGAAUGACUAGAGUGCGGGAGAGGAGAGUGGAAUUCCUGGUGUAGCGGUGAAAUGCGUAGAUAUCAGGAGGAACACCGGUGGUGUAGACGGCUCUCUGGACCGUAACUGACGCUGAGGCACGAAAGCGUGGGUAGCAAACAGG
rnacentral:rRNA from 1 species